UACGUAGGCAGCGAGCGUUGUUCGGAGUUACUGGGCGUAAAGGGUGUGUAGGCGGUUUUCUAAGUUUGGUGUGAAAUCUCCUGGCUCAACCGGGAGUGUGCGCCGAAAACUGGGAGACUAGAGUGCGGGAUGGGAGAGUGGAAUUCCUGGUGUAGCGGUGAAAUGCGCAGAUAUCGGGAGGAACACCAGUAGCGAAGGCGGCACUCUGGGCCGUGACUGACGCUGAGGAGCGAAAGCGUGGGGAGCGAACAGG
rnacentral:rRNA from 1 species